GAUGAACGCUGGCGGCGUGCCUAAUACAUGCAAGUCGAGCGAACGGACGAGAAGCUUGCUUCUCUGAUGUUAGCGGCGGACGGGUGAGUAACACGUGGAUAACCUACCUAUAAGACUGGGAUAACUUCGGGAAACCGGAGCUAAUACCGGAUAAUAUUUUGAACCGCAUGGUUCAAAAGUGAAAGACGGUCUUGCUGUCACUUAUAGAUGGAUCCGCGCUGCAUUAGCUAGUUGGUAAGGUAACGGCUUACCAAGGCAACGAUGCAUAGCCGACCUGAGAGGGUGAGCGGGCGCACGGGAACAGUGGGACGGACCUACGCCCCAGGGGAGGACGGGAGGGGGAAUUUGGGAAAAUGGGAGAAGGGCUGCAGGGGUGACGCCGCGAGGGGGAGUGAGGGUUGGGGGUCGUAAAGUUGUGUAAUUAGGGAGAAAAUGGUGUAGAAGUAACUAUGGUAGUGGUGAGGGUACUUAGUAAAGAAGCCCCGGCUAACUACGU
rnacentral:rRNA from 1 species